rnacentral:sRNA from 1 species
AGCGCCACCGGGUCGACGCCACGCGUGACUACGAGGUAGUCACGCAUCACCACGGAGUGCUUGUUCUC